rnacentral:rRNA from 1 species
AUUGAACGCUGGCGGCACGCCUAACACUUGCCAGUCGCGCGAGCGGCGGACGGGUGAGUAAUGUCUGGGACCCUGCCUGAUGGUGGUGGCUAACUUCUGGAUACGGUAGCUAAUACCGCAUACCAUCAGAUGUGCCCAGAUGGGAUUAGCUAGUAGGUGGGGUAAUGGCUCACCUAGGCGACGAUCCCUAGCUGGUCUGAGAGGAUGACCAGCCACACUGGAACUGAGAGACGGUCCAGACGACUACGGGAGGCAGAAGUGGGGAAUAUUGCAGAAUGGGCGCAAGCCUGAUGCGGCCAAGACGGUUGGGUGAAGAAGGACCUCGGGUUGUAAAGCACUUUCAGCGAGGAGGCGUUGCUCGCAGAAGAAGCACAGGAGAACGCCGUGCCAGCCGCCGCGGUAAUUC